UAAUAAUUAUAAUAAUAGGUCUCUGAUGUGUGCUUUGAAAGAGAACAAUCGCAUUGGUUUUAUUGACAAGAACGAAACAGAAGAGUGGUGGCAUGAAAUAUUUGCCCGGUUGCAGACAUUUCUGUGAUGUCAUCCGAUUCUAUAGGCGUUGUGCUCAGAACCUUUUUUAAGCGGAAACACUGGAAAGACAUGUCAAUGAGGAAAGGAAAGACAUGUCAAUGAGGAAAGGAAAGACAUGUCUGUGAGGAAAGGAAAGACAUGUCAAUGAGGAAACAUGUCUAUGAGGAAAGGAAAGACAUGUCAAUGAGGAAAGGAAAGACAUGUCUGUGAGGAAAGGAAAGACAUGUCUAUGAGGAAAGGAAAGACAUGUCAGUGAGGAAAGGAAAGACAUGUCUAUGAGGAAAGGAAAGACAUGUCAGUGAGGAAACAUGUCUAUGAGGAAAGGAAAGACAUGUCAAUGAGGAAAGGAAAGACAUGUCUGUGAGGAAAGGAAAGACAUGUCAAUGAGGAAAGGAAAGACAUGUCUGUGAGGAAAGGAAAGACAUGUCAAUGAGGAAACAUGUCUAUGAGGAAAGGAAAGACAUGUCAAUGAGGAAAGGAAAGACAUGUCUGUGAGGAAAGGAAAGACAUGUCUAUGAGGAAAGGAAAGACAUGUCAGUGAGGAAAGGAAAGACAUGUCAAUGAGGAAAGGAAAGACAUGUCUAUGAGGAAAGGAAAGACAUGUCUAUGAGGAAAGGAAAGACAUGUCUGUGAGGAAAGGAAAGACAUGUCAGUGAGGAAAGGAAAGACAUGUCUAUGAGGAAAGGAAAGAUGUCUAUGAGGAAAGGAAAGACAUGUCUAUGAGGAAAGGAAAGACAUGUCUAUGAGGAAAGGAAAGACGUCUAUGAGGAAAGGAAAGACAUGUCUAUGAGGAAAGGAAAGACAUGUCAAUGAGGAAAGGAAAGACAUGUCUAUGAGGAAAGGAAAGAUGUCUAUGAGGAAAGGAAAGACACGUCUAUGAGGAAAGGAAAGACAUGUCUAUGAGGAAAGGAAAGACGUCUAUGAGGAAAGGAAAGACAUGUCUAUGAGGAAAGGAAAGACAUGUCUGUGAGGAAAGGAAAGACAUGUCUAUGAGGAAAGGAAAGACAUGUCUGUGAGGAAAGGAAAGACAUGUCUAUGAGGAAAGGAAAGACGUCUAUGAGGAAAGGAAAGACAUGUCUAUGAGGAAAGGAAAGACAUGUCAAUGAGGAAAGGAAAGACAUGUCUAUGAGGAAAGGAAAGACAUGUCUGUGAGGAAAGGAAAGACAUGUCUGUGAGGAAAGGAAAGACAUGUCUAUGAGGAAAGGAAAGACGUCUAUGAGGAAAGGAAAGACAUGUCUAUGAGGAAAGGAAAGACAUGUCAAUGAGGAAAGGAAAGACAUGUCUAUGAGGAAAGGAAAGACGUCUAUGAGGAAAGGAAAGACAUGUCUAUGAGGAAAGGAAAGACAUGUCAAUGAGGAAAGGAAAGACAUGUCUAUGAGGAAAGGAAAGAUGUCUAUGAGGAAAGGAAAGACAUGUCUAUGAGGAAAGGAAAGACAUGUCUAUGAGGAAAGGAAAGACGUCUAUGAGGAAAGGAAAGACAUGUCUAUGAGGAAAGGAAAGACAUGUCUGUGAGGAAAGGAAAGACAUGUCUGUGAGGAAAGGAAAGACAUGUCUAUGAGGAAAGGAAAGACAUGUCUGUGAGGAAAGGAAAGACAUGUCUGUGAGGAAAGGAAAGACAUGUCUAUGAGGAAAGGAAAGACAUGUCUAUGAGGAAAGGAAAGACAUGUCUAUGAGGAAAGGAAAGACAUGUCAAUGAGGAAAGGAAAGACAUGUCUGUGAGGAAAGGAAAGACAUGUCUAUGAGGAAAGAUGUCUAUGAGGAAAGGAAAGACAUGUCUAUGAGGAAAGGAAAGACAUGUCUGUGAGGAAAGAUGUCGAUGAGGUUCCCUGUUUUCAACAGACAAACUUUGUAGGUUCUCUUUUAUUUCACUACAUGUUUAUGAUAUGAAACAUAGCUUUGUCACAUAAACCUUAUAAUGGACAAAUGUAACGAUGGAAUGACGAACGAAGGCCCGUAGCAACAACAACAACAAAAACAGAAAAUACACAAAAAUAUUUUUCAUGAUCUAAGGUAAGAAAGAAAGUAAACAUUUUAAGAAUUGUCAUGUAAAAAAAUGACUCUACUAUAAAAUUGUCUUGUAGCAAAUAUGUGCAUUAAUAAUAAUAAUAAUAAUCUCAGUGAGAUUUAAUCAUUCUCAUCCACGAGAAUAUCAUCUAAGUUUUGAGGGAAAAUGUCCUCAAUGUCCUUAAAACCCUUUUAAAAACCGACAUGCUUCGUUAUGCUGAUGAAUGACUGUAAUGCGUAGGCGUACAUGUGUUGAUCAUUUUACUACUUCGUAUUCUUAAGUGCUUACUGAAAUGGCACCCUGUUCUCUCUAUAGUGCACUACUUUUGACCAGACCAGAUCAGUAGUAGUGCACUAUACAGGGAAUAGGGUGCCAUUUCGGACGCACGUUCAGUAAGGUAACCACUGUCUGUUAUGGUAAGGGCGGCUUCUGUGUACCUGACUGGCAGUGCUACUGUAGUUAAUUACAGUAAAGUUGGGCAGGUUCUGUGUACCUGACUGGCAGUGCUACUGUAGUUAAUUACAGUAAAGUUGGGCAGGUUCUGUGUACCUGACUGGCAGUGCUACUGUAGUUAAUUACAGUAAAUUGGGCAGGUUCUGUGUACCUGACUGGCAGUGCUACUGUAGUUAAUUACAGUAAAGUUGGGCAGGUUCUGUGUACCUGACUGGCAGUGCUACUGUAGUUAAUUACAGUAAAGUUGGGCAGGUUCUGUGUACCUGACUGGCAGUGCUACUGUAGUUAAUUACAGUAAAGUUGGGCAGGUUCUGUGUACCUGACUGGCAAUGCUACUGUAGUUAACUUAAUUAAAGUAAGUUACAUUACUUUACAUUGUGGGCUGUUUACUUAAUAUAAGUUAAGAUAAUUCUCUGUGUUUCAUUAAUGACUGACUGUUAUUUUUGCAUACUUUUUUUUUAAAUUUUGCAUUUGUAAAGAAAGAAGUUGUUAACAAAAAUGUAUUGAUUUUUGGCAUUAUACGAUAAGGCACUGAUAUUUGAAUUGAAUCUUUGAAUGAAGUACACGAGUUCCAACUCUAGAAUUAGAAUGAAUUGUUUUCGAUUCUAAGGUUCCAUCUAGCAGUGACUCGUUGUGAGUUCCGACUGACCCUGAGCCAAUACCAACUCAGUUUGACUCUUAUCUAUCCAGUUCAUUCCUACAAGUAGAAGAAGCUCCCUCCCUCUGUUGUUGUCUGGUGUACUGUGUCAUAUGUACAGUAGCUUGUUAAUAUGGCAAAACAAAAGCGUUUAAUGUUUCUUUUUCAAUGGAAAGUGCUCACUGCUGAGAAUUUUUAAAGUGGUUUUAAAAGCCAAUAAACUUUUUUUAUAGAAUGUUGCUCUUCAUCGUGUUUGCUUCAUUUUUUAAAAUGGCAACGUUUGUAACGGGCGUCGUAUAGAGGGGACCAAGGCGCAGCGUGUUGAGUGCUCAUAUUGUAUUUUAAUGGGAAUCGAACACUUAAGACAAAUAAACAAAAAAAAACGACAGCCAACAGUCCUGUCAGGUUACACAAACGAAACAGAAAACAAAUACCCACG
rnacentral:lncRNA from 1 species